UGGGCAACCUGCCCUCAGCUCUGGGAUAACUCCAAGAAAUUGGGCUAAUACCGGAUAUGACCGCUGACCGCAUGGUCUGGUGGUGGAAAGAUUUUAUCGGCUGGGGAUGGGCCCGCGGCCUAUCAGCUUGUUGGUGGGGUAUGGCCUACCAAGGCGACGACGGGUAGCUGGUCUGAGAGGACGACCAGCCACACUGGAACUGAGAUACGGUCCAGACUCCGUACGGGAG
rnacentral:rRNA from 1 species